rnacentral:tRNA from 1 species
AGGUCUCGGUUGGCAAAUGCUGGUUUUGAAACCCGGUUAAAGACGUUCGAGUCGUCUAGGGAUCUG